rnacentral:rRNA from 1 species
UACGUAGGGUGCGAGCGUUAAUCGGAAUUACUGGGCGUAAAGCGUGCUCAGGCGGCGCGUUAAGACAGGUGUGAAAGCCCCGAGCUUAACUUGGGAAUUGCGCUUGUGACUGGCGUGCUGGAGUGUGGCAGAGGGAGGUGGAAUUCCACGUGUAGCAGUGAAAUGCGUAGAGAUGUGGAGGAACACCGAUGGCGAAGGCAGCCUCCUGGGCCAGCACUGACGCUCAGGCACGAAAGCGUGGGGAGCAAACAGG